AUAGAUCCAUGCUUUUUAUUCUUCAAUUUUCAUUGUUUCGAUCUCUAAAAUAUCAAUGUAAAUAACAAACACCUAGUCUAGUGCAAAACUCCAUUUCAAAACACUAUUCAUAUUCGUAAAGGACCCUAAACCUAUUCAUGCAUGUAGUCAACAGCUAAUAAGACGGGUAGAUCAAGCGACUAUCCUCCAUUUCUGUGGCUUCAAUUUGCGUUGGAGCCUCUUCAGUCCAACAUGUAAAUGCAAGCCUUCCUUAGCCAUUAGGUGCACUGCUUGAUCGCCUUCUUUCCGAAUGUAUUGAACUCGAAGCUUU
rnacentral:lncRNA from 1 species